rnacentral:rRNA from 1 species
AUUGAACGCUGGCGGCAGGCUUAACACAUGCAAGUCGAGCGCGCGGCGGACGGGUGAGUAAUGUCUGGGAAACUGCGUGAUGGAGGGGGAUAACUACUGGAAACGGUAGAAAAUACCGCAUUCUAUCAGAUGUGCCGAGAUGGGAUGAGCUUGUAGGUGGGGUAAGGGCUCACCUAGGCGACGAUCCCUAGCUGGUCUGAGAGGAUGACCAGCCACACUGGAACUGAGACACGGUCCAGACUCCUACGGGAGGCAGCAGUGGGGAAUAUUGCACAAUGGGCGCAAGCCUGAUGCAGCCAUGCCGCGUGUGUGAAGAAGGCCUUCGGGUUGUAAAGCACUUUCAGCGAGGAGGCGUUACUCGCAGAAGAAGCACCGGCUAACUCCGUGCCAGCAGCCGCGGUAAUUC